rnacentral:rRNA from 1 species
AUGAACCUGGCCCUCCUCACGAGGUGGCUCUGGUGCAUUGCGAAUGGAGAGGGUGGCUUGUGGCUGCAAAUCAUCCAUAGCAAAUAUUUGUGCGACCAACCUCUCGCCUUCUGCAUUAGGUCGGGAGGAUCCCAGUUCUGGCAGUCCGUCAUCCAGCUGCUCCCUGUCCUCCGCAUCAGGACCUCCAUUUCGGUUGGCUCCGGGACAUUCACGCUGUUUUGGUUUGACCGGUGGGCUGGGUACUCCCCCUUCGCUGCCAGGUUCCCAGAUCUUUUCUCCAUUGCGGUGAAGCCUAGGAUUUCUGUCGAGAUAGCCCUUAUUGACUUAGGGCGUCACACGUUCCGGCGGCCAUUCGGGCCCCCGGAAGUCGCCGCCUGGCAUGAACUUCCGGAUGUCGUUGCUCUCCAUGAGCCGGAUUUGACGCAGUCCCAUGACCGCCUGUCCUGGCGCCUCGAACCCUCGGGCCGGUUCUCCACGAAAUCCCUAUAUCAGGCCAUUGCCCCCUCCCCUGGCCCGGUGGUCCUUGAGACGGUCUGGUCUAUCUGAUUGCCCCUCAAGAUCAGAAUCUUCUUGUGGCAAUGGAUCCAUGGCCGGCUUCCCUCCGGCGUGUAG